CCCGGGACCGAUGCCAAUUUGGCCCGACCCGAGCACGUCAAACAGACGCCGAACGGACAGAGUUUCCCCUACCCGCCCAAGGCUCAUCACAUGUACAUUUUCAUCAAUAGAGAAAAGCACUAGCGGAAACAUACACAAACGGCUUACACGAGGGUAAGCAAUAGCCAUUAGUAAAAGAAAAAGGAAACUAAACAUUCACAAGUAAUAUGAUUCAUUUUAGAUCAUAUACAUUGCAUUCAUCUAGUAAUUUAUCGAAUUCUUACAUUCAUUACAUCAUUUCAUCAUUUCUUUCUUACAUCACAUUUACCCCAAUAUAAGCUUUACAUUCUUUCUUUACAUCACUAUUCAUCAAAUACAAAAGAUGAUCACAAGGUACUUUACUACAAAAUGAAACCCAACAUUGGUGGCCUCUGACUAAGGCGCGAUACCUUUACCUCGGUCGCUCGCCGGCUCGCUC
rnacentral:lncRNA from 1 species